UACAGAGGUCUCAAGCGUUGUCCGGAUUUAUUGGGCGUAAAGAGCUCGUAGGCGGCUCGUCGCGUCGACUGUGAAAACUCGGGGCUUAACCCCGGGCUUGCAGUCGAUACGGGCGGGCUAGAGUUCGGUAGGGGAGACUGGAAUUCCUGGUGUAGCGGUGAAAUGCGCAGAUAUCAGGGGGAACACCGGUGGCGAAGGCGGGUCUCUGGGCCGAUACUGACGCUGAGGAGCGAAAGCGUGGGGAGCGAACAGG
rnacentral:rRNA from 1 species